UUAGGCUGAGUCUGCUCAUGUCACUGCAGCUCAAUGACAGCAUUUUCAGCACCCUGAACAUUAAACAUUCUGUCUCCAGUGCCUACCACCCUCAGACCAAUGGACAGGUAAGUAUUUGGAUAUCUGCCCUUGAGCAACACCGUUGAUAUCGGUCCUGAUUAUUUAUCUAUUUCACAAUACAAUCCAAUUAAAAGGAUGAAAGGCCCAACCAGAAUAUCAAACGUACUCUGAGAAAGUACGUCAACCAGAAUCAUGAUGACUGGGAUGUCCACCUCCCUGCUGUGGUGUACGGCAUCAACACUGCAAAGCAGGUUGUUCUUGCUUUCACAUUUUAUAUAUGACAUUUUGUAUUAGUUGUAAGAUGCUUCUCAGGGUACCAUCUUUUAAGAAUGUAUUUCAAACUAAGUUUUAAAAACAGUUAUUGACAAGAAAUUAAUUAAUGGAGAGUAUCUCUGUGAUCAGCACUCUACCCGCCACACUCCAUAUUUCCUUCUCUUCCACCGGCAUCCACGUCUUCCUGCUGUGAUGAACGCCUGUCCCAUGAAAGAUGACUUUGUGAUUGCCAACCCCAAAGAGGACAUUGACACCAGAGUUCAGGAGAUGACAGUUCUCAAUGAAACAGUUCGUCGCAACAUUGAGAGGGCUCAAGACACUCAGAAGAAGACCUUUGGAACGCAGAAACGGAAACACAUAAGAGAUUGUUUCAUUCAGGCAGGUGAUGAGGUUCUUCUGUCGUGAGAUCCAAAACAGAGACGCACAGGGGACGCAUUAUCAAACCAGCACCAAGGACCAUACACUGUGGCCAGCAUCACACCAAAGAGGAUGGCCACUAUUGUGAAGGGAGCAACUUGCGAUAGGGUAAACAUGUCCAGGCUGAGGAACUACCACUGAUCAAAGAAUCCAUCAACGGAGAGGAAGUUUCUCCUGGACCACGCAUAUGUGACUUUUGAAUGGCAGAUUGAUCAUCUUUAUGCCAGUCAUGGAGCAAAGUGCCACAAAGACUUGGACCCUCUUCAGUCC